AUGGAAUCCUCUUCCUCGUCAUCUGGAGCACGCUCGUCCUCCCAUGGUGGACCUCCUGGCUAUUCUCCGAACCCUUCCCCAAUUCCUUAUCGUGAGCAGCCGCUAGCAUACGAGCCAUCUGAAGAUUGCCCAUGCCACAAGAAAGCGGCGAGAUGGAUCUCCUGGAGCAACGGAAAUCCUGGUCGUAGGUAUCUGACCUGCCAGAGAUCUCGGAUAUUUGGCACACUUUCUUGGCGAUGGAUUGAUGACCCUACUACGCCCUUUCUUCGCCAACUUUUGGUCGAUCUGCGUGACGCGGUGAACAACCUCCGGAGGGAGAACACUCAGCUCAGAGGAGUAAAUGCAGACCUGGAAAUGGGGAUUGAGGACCGAAGCACCCAGAAUAAUGCUUUGCGGGAUGCAUUGCGCAAGAUGAAGGAACAGAAUCAGGCUCUUGAAGAGAAGUUGGGGCAAACUGAAGGCCCGCUGAAUGUGAAAAACAAUGGUCAUCAGAAGCGGAUGCUUUUUAGUGUAGUUCUGAUAGUGAUGAUUGUGUUUUUAGUUAGCAAGCUUGCUGCUUAG
rnacentral:rRNA from 1 species